ACCCAUGCAAGAGUAAAUUUUAAUGCGAAAAAGUGCACAAAUAAAACUUAAAAAUAUGUAUUUUAUGGCAUAUAUCACUUCACCAUUGGUAGAUUGCAUCGUCGAUCGCUUAAGACAUCCACGUUCGUGCUUCGGUGGGGGUGUAGCCGUGUGCAGUUGUCUAUAAGCCACCAUCUUCGGUCGACGUGAGAUGUCUGCUGCGCUGUUAACUCAUCUCAUUGCUCCAUCAUUGGUAGGAUGCGCUGCCAACUCUUUUUCUCCUCUAGAUCUUCGUCCUUCGCUCACAGUGGCCUCUCUUUCAUAGAUCUCAUUUUCAGAUCUGGUUGGUAAUGCCAUUCAACACCCGUUUUGUCGCCGAAGUUUUGUUUGGGUUGGAUUGAAGAGCUGAAAGGAUUUGAGGUGUUGUCCAAUAGGUGUUAAAGGUUCAAUUUUGGUGAAGUUUGGUAAGGGAAAAGAUACACUGCGAAUGAUAGGAGGAAUCUGUGAUUAGACCACUGGGAUUAGACAGAAGCUUCCGCUUAUGAUCUCAUGUUUUCACAUUCUAAAAUAUUAGUUUUGUAAUUGAAUUUAGAAAACUUUCAAUGCUUGCUAUGUUUGUUGGUUUAGACAAAAAUUUUGGUAAUGUUUUUUUUUUUAA